UACGGGGGGGUAAGCGGUUGUUCGGAAUUACUGGGCGUAAAGGGCUCGGUAGGCGGCCAUCUAAGUCAGACGUGAAAUCCCUCGGCUCAACCGAGGAACUGCGUCUGAUACUGGAAGGCUUGAAUCCGGGAGAGGGAUGUGGAAUUCCAGGUGUAGCGGUGAAAUGCGUAGAUAUCUGGAGGAACACCGGUGGCGAAGGCGGCUCACUGGGCUCAUAUCUGACGCUCAGGCGCGACAGCGUGGGGAUCAAACAGG
rnacentral:rRNA from 1 species